rnacentral:rRNA from 1 species
AGUCGACGAUGAUGCUCCAGCUUGCUGGGGUGGAUUAGUGGCGAACGGGUGAGUAACACGUGAGUAACCUGCCCUUCACUUUGGGAUAAGCCUUGGAAACGGGGUCUAAUACCGGGUAUACACAUUCUGCCGCAUGGUGGUGUGUGGAAAGCUUUUGUGGUGAGGGAUGGACUCGCGGCCUAUCAGCUUGAUGGUGGGGUAGUGGCCUACCAUGGCUUUGACGGGUAGCCGGCCUGAGAGGGUGACCGGCCACACUGGGACUGAGACACGGCCCAGACUCCUACGGGAGGCAGCAGUGGGGAAUAUUGCACAAUGGGCGGAAGCCUGAUGCAGCGACGCCGCGUGGGGGAUGAAGGCUUUCGGGUCGUAAACUCCUUUCAGCAGGGACGAAGCUUUUUGUGACGGUACCUGCAGAAGAAGCACCGGCUAACUACGUGCCAGCAGCCGCGGUAAUACGUAGGGUGCGAGCGUUGUCCGGAAUUAUUGGGCGUAAAGAGCUUGUAGGCGGUUUGUCGCGUCUGCCGUGAAAGCCCAGGGCUUAACCCUGGGUCUGCGGUGGGUACGGGCAGACUAGAGUGUGGUAGGGGAGACUGGAAUUCCUGGUGUAGCGGUGAAAUGCGCAGAUAUCAGGAGGAACACCGAUGGCGAAGGCAGGUCUCUGGGCCACUACUGACGCUGAGAAGCGAAAGCAUGGGGAGCAAACAGGAUUAGAUACCCUGGUAGUCCAUGCCGUAAACGUUGGGAACUAGGUGUGGGCCUCAUUCCACGAGGUCCGUGCCGUAGCUAACGCAUUAAGUUCCCCGCCUGGAGAGUACGGCCGCAAGGCUAAAACUCAGAGGAAUUGACGGGGGCCCGCACAAGCGGCGGAGCAUGCGGAUUAAUUCGAUGCAACGCGAAGAACCUUACCAAGGCUUGACAUACACCGGAAUGUGCCAGAGAUGGUGCAGCCUUCGGGCUGGUGUACAGGUGGUGCAUGGUUGUCGUCAGCUCGUGUCGUGAGAUGUUGGGUUAAGUCCCGCAACGAGCGCAACCCUCGUUCCAUGUUGCCAGCACGUAAUGGUGGGGACUCAUG